GUUGCUUCUCGUCACGGUUUACCCAAAGGUGAUUGGUGUGGAACAACUUUCAGAAGUCAAGCUUAACUCUCGGAUCCUUCAGGAUUCAAUUG